rnacentral:rRNA from 1 species
CCUACGGGUGGCAGCAGUGAGGAAUAUUGGUCAAUGGGCGGGAGCCUGAACCAGCCAAGUCGCGUGAGGGAUGACGGUCCUAUGGAUUGUAAACCUCUUUUGUCGGGGAACAAAGGCGUCCACGGGUGGCCGGAUGAGUGUACCCGAAGAAAAAGCAUUGGCUAACCCCGUUCCAGCAGCCGCGGUAAUACAGAGGAUGCGAGCGUUAUUCGGAUUUAUUGGGUUUAAAGGGUGCGUAGGCGGACAGUUAAGUCAGCGGUAAAACUGCGGUGCUCAACGCCGUACCGCCGUUGAAACUGGCAGUCUUGAGUGAGCGAGAAGUAUGCGGAAUGCGUGGUGUAGCGGUGAAAUGCAUAGAUAUCACGCAGAACUCCGAUUGCGAAGGCAGCAUACCGGCGCCCUACUGACGCUGAGGCACGAAAGCGUGGGUAUCGAACAGGAUUAGAUACCCGAGUAGUC